UACGUAGGGGGCAAGCGUUGUCCGGAAUUAUUGGGCGUAAAGCGCGCGCAGGCGGCCGUUUAAGUCUGGUGUUUAAGCCCGGGGCUCAACCCCGGUUCGCACUGGAAACUGGGCGGCUUGAGUGCAGGAGAGGAAAGCGGAAUUCCACGUGUAGCGGUGAAAUGCGUAGAUAUGUGGAGGAACACCAGUGGCGAAGGCGGCUUUCUGGCCUGUAACUGACGCUGAGGCGCGAAAGCGUGGGGAGCAAAAGGG
rnacentral:rRNA from 1 species